rnacentral:rRNA from 1 species
CCGACAGGAUGGGGACAACAUUCCGAAAGGAAUGCUAAUACCGAAUGGAGUCCGAGGAUGGCAUCAUCCUUGGAUAAAAGAUGGCCUCUGAAUAUGCUAUCGCCUGUCGAUGGGCCUGCGUCUGAUUAGCCAGUUGGCGGGGUAACGGCCCACCAAAGCGACGAUCAGUAGCCGGUCUGAGAGGAUGAACGGCCACAUUGGGACUGAGACACGGCCCAG